GGCGACGUUGCUAUAAGAUCGCGUUCCGGCGGCCACGUUUCUCUUUGUCACGGGCCUGAGUUCGUAGGCGCAGCGGGCCUAGCGAAGUCAAUAUGCCGGUCGCCAGAAGCUGGGUUUGUCGCAAAACCUAUGUGACCCCACGGAGACCCUUCGAGAAAUCGCGUCUUGAUCAGGAGCUAAAGUUGAUUGGAGAGUAUGGACUCCGGAACAAACGUGAGGUGUGGCGGGUCAAAUUUACCCUGGCCAAGAUCCGUAAGGCGGCCCGGGAGCUGUUGACACUGGACGAGAAGGAUCCUCGGCGACUGUUUGAAGGCAAUGCUCUACUGAGGCGACUUGUUCGAAUUGGGGUGCUGGAUGAGGGCAAGAUGAAGCUGGAUUACAUCCUGGGCCUGAAGAUUGAGGAUUUCUUGGAGAGACGGCUGCAGACCCAGGUCUUUAAGCUGGGCCUGGCCAAAUCUAUCCACCAUGCCCGAGUGCUCAUCCGCCAGCGUCACAUCAGCCUUUGGAGCUGACAAACUUGCUUGACAAAGCUUGCCCUUGAGGGUUCAGAAUUGUGCCUGCAAACAGCUUAUGGGGGAACUGGGGACAGCCUUGUUUCCCCAUAGCCCAGCGCAAGGGUCACUGCGGCUCAAGCCGUACACCUUGUGAAGGUGUCUGCCAGGCAAGCAAGCAGCUGGACAGGGUCCGCAAGCAGGUGGUGAACAUCCCAUCCUUCAUUGUUCGUCUGGACUCCCAGAAGCACAUUGACUUCUCCCUCCGUUCUCCUU